rnacentral:lncRNA from 1 species
GGGAGAGUGGCCAAUGUGGAGAAAUCUGGUAGUUUCUCCUCAAAGUGGGGUCUGGCUUCCCUGGGAGAACUGGGAGGCUUGCACCCUGAGCUGGAGCUGCCCUCGGGGUGUCCGCCUUUCCAGCCCCCAGCAGCCCUGCUGCAGGUGCUUGCCUGGUCCCGAAGGCUGUGUCCAGCCCUGCUGCAGGUGCUUGCCUGGUCCCGAAGGCUGUGUCCAGCCCCCUGCAGGUGCUUGCCUGGUCCCGAAGGCUGUGUCCAGCCCCCUGCUGCAGGUGCUUGCCUGGUCCUGAAGGCUGUGUCCAGCCCCCUGCUGCAGGUGCUUGCCUGGUCCUGAAGGCUGUGUCCAGCUCCCUGCAGGUGCUUGCCUGGUCCUGAAGGCUGUGUCCAGCCCUGCUGCAGGUGCUUGCCUGGUCCUGAAGGCUGUGUCCAGCCCUGCUGCAGGUGCUUGCCUGGUCCCGAAGGCUGUGUCCAGCCCCCUGCAGGUGCUUGCCUGGUCCCGAA